rnacentral:rRNA from 1 species
AUACAUUUAACGGCUGCGGUAUUCUGACUGUGCUAAGGUAGCGUAAUCAAUUGUUUUUUAAUUGAAAACUGGAAUGAAAGGUUAAACAAAUUACCUUAGUUUGUGCAGCUUGGUUAGUAAAUUAAAGUCAAGGUAAGAAUUCUUUGAUUUUCUAGGGGACGAUAAGACCCUAGAAGCUUUAAAAAAGAAAAAUUUUUAGUAGUUGUAUAUAUUUUUUACUGGGGCGGUAUUGGUGUUUUAACUACUAAAAAUAGAGGUCGAUCCUUUAGAUAAAGAUAAUUCGGUGAAGUUACUUUAGGGAUAACAGUGCGGUAUUCUUGGAAAGGUCUUAUUAAUAAGAAUGUUCGCAACCUCGAUGUUGAAUUWAGAUGUCUACGUGGAGCAGUAAAUAC